UACGUAGGGGGCAAGCGUUGUCCGGAUUUAUUGGGCGUAAAGAGCGUGUAGGCGGCCUGACAGGUCUGCUGUGAAAACUCGAGGCUCAACCUCGAGAUGUCGGCGGAAACCGUCUGGCUAGAGUCCGGAAGAGGAGAGUGGAAUUCCUGGUGUAGCGGUGAAAUGCGCAGAUAUCAGGAAGAACACCUAUGGCGAAGGCAGCUCUCUGGGACGGUACUGACGCUGAGACGCGAAAGCGUGGGGAGCGAAGCAGGAUAGAUACC
rnacentral:rRNA from 1 species